rnacentral:rRNA from 1 species
AUUUCCCUCUGUCGGCAUGCUUUACACAUGCAAGUCGAACGGCAGCGCGGGCUUCGGCCUGGCGGCGAGUGGCGAACGGGUGAGUAAUGCAUCGGAACGUGCCCAGUAGUGGGGGAUAGCCCGGCGAAAGCCGGAUUAAUACCGCAUACGACCUGAGGGUGAAAGCGGGGGACCGAAAGGCCUCGCGCUAUUGGAGCGGCCGAUGUCGGAUUAGCUAGUUGGUGGGGUAAAGGCUUACCAAGGCGACGAUCCGUAGCUGGUCUGAGAGGACGACCAGCCAACAUGGGACUGGGACACCGCCCAGGCUCCUGCGGGAGGCCGCAGUGGGGAAUUUUGGACAAUGGGGGCAACCCUUGUCCAGCCAUGCCGAGUGCGGGAAAAAGGCCUUCCGGUUGUAAACCGCUUUUGUUCGGGAAGAAAUCCUCUGGGCUAAUACCCCGGGGGGAUGACGGUACCGGAAGAAUAAGCACCGGCUAACUACGUG